AGCCACAUGUAGCUGCUAGCUAUGGGACUUAGACAGCAGAGGUGUGGAAAGUCCACACAUUCUUCCACUCAAAGGAUAUUUCCCUGCCUUUUUGAAGAUAAUGACCACUCAUCUGAGUACACAGUUUGCAGAAUCCCUUUGCAGUGGCCCAUGUGGGCCAAGGUAGUAGAGCAUAAUAGAUCUCUAGAAGGCCACUAGAAACAGCAGGUGAUGGCCCCAGCUCCUGUCCCUCCAUGCAGAACAUCUGUCAACACCUAUGGACAUCUUUUCUUCCCCCAUUCCUAUGAAUGUUGCUCAGUUGUUACAUGGUGUGGACAAAUGCUGCUGGCUGGUGGCCUGGACACACUGGACAAGCUUGGCCUUCGGUAAAACAAAGACUAGAUUCAAUUACUCAAACUGAAACGGGAAUGCUUGGACGAACAAGCCUGCCAGGAAGUCCCAUUGGAGGUACUCAACCUGUGCCCCUUCCCUCUUUGGACCAAGAGCCUGAACCUGAGAGAUGAACGGCUUAUCCAAGGUUAUGGCA